UAUGAAUGAUUUUUUUUCUUAGUUUGGGUGCUAGGUACUGAUAGAGUUGGUGUAUCCAUAGAUAGCAUACACUUGCGCAUUUUGUUGAGUUCUUCUGUUGCGAAUGAGAACAACCAUCAUGGACCUCCUCUGUUUUCAAGCAGCUUGCUUCUCCAUGUAUGAUUUAUGCAGCAUAUACAUCUUGCUCCUCUUUUAUCAGUAGCAAUGGAAGUUGAUGAAAUUUAAGUGUCGUGUUGUUCUAGAGAUGCAGGGAGGGAGGGACUUCCAUGGAUUGGACUGCAAGGAUUGGAUGUAAACCAAUGCACAUGAGGAGGAGAGAUGCAAGCUAGGUCAUGACCUAAAGAUGUCCUUGGAGAAGAUGGCCAUUGGAGUGUAGGGGAGAAACAACCUUGUCCUGCUCGAGGAGGAGGAGGAGGACCACCCGAGCUCGACGACGACAUGGCAACAGCCUUGUCUCCCCCACCACCGCCCCUCGGCCUCCUAUAAUGUUGUUGUGGAUUCUUAGAAUGGAAAUGUUAUGUACAUAAAAAAUAUACUAUGGUCUGUGUUUGCAAAUCCAUGGCUGUUGAAUCAUGUAUGUAUAAGCAUUUGUAAAUAGCUAGCCUUGUUGGCUAAUCUUUUUUUUUUGGUUCUGGUCA